rnacentral:rRNA from 1 species
GUGCACCAGUCGCGAAUCCUCCGCAAUACACGAAGUGUGACGGGGCCAUCCCGAGUGCCGUCCGCUGAGGACGGCUUUUCCCCAGUGUACACAGCUGGGGAAUAAGGAGAGGGCAAGCCUGGUGUCAGCCGCCGCGGUAAUACCAGCUCUCCGAGUGGUGGGGACGCUUAUUGGGCCUAAAGCAUCCGUAGCCGGCUGGGCAAGUCCUCCGUUAAAUCCAACGAUUCAAUCGUUGGGCUGCGGGGGAUACUGUCCAGCUUGGGGGCGGGAGAGGCCGACGGUAUUCCCGGGGUAGGGGUGAAAUCCUAUAAUCCCGGGAGGGCCACCAGUGGCGAAGGCUGUCGGCUAGAACGCGCCCGACGGUGAGGGAUGAAAGCUGGGGGAGCGAACCGGAUUAGAUACCCGCGUAGUCCCCUGAAGACUCCAA